rfam:Ipomoea nil DNA, scaffold: scaffold2781, cultivar: Tokyo-kokei standard.
AUGUCAUGGUGUGGACAUUUCCUUCUUAACUCCUUGAAUCUCUCCCAAGACUCGGCUAGAGAUUCACUUGCCAAUUGCUUGAAAUUUUGGAUUGCUCCCCUCAGCUU